rnacentral:rRNA from 1 species
ACCUGGUUGAUUCUGCCAGUAGUCAUAUGCUUGUCUCAAAGAUUAAGCCAUGCAUGUCUAAGUAUAAGCAAUUACAAAGCGAAACUGCGAAUGGCUCAUUAUAUAAGUUAUCGUUUAUUUGAUAGUACCUUACUACAUGGAUAACCGUGGUAAUUCUAGAGCUAAUA